rnacentral:rRNA from 1 species
AUUGAACGCUGGCGGCAGGCCUAACACAUGCAAGUCGAGCGGAGCGGCGGACGGGCGAGUAAUGCCUAGGAAUCUGCCUGGUAGUGGCGGAUCACGUCCGGAAACGGGCGCUAAUACCGCAUAAUAUCAGAUGAGCCUAGGUCGGAUUAGCUUGUGGGUGGGGUAAGGGCCUACCAAGGCGACGAUCCGUAACUGGUCUGCGAGGAUGAUCAGUCACCCUGGAACUGAGACACGGUCCAGACUCCUACGGGAGGCAUCAGUGGGGAAUAUUGGACAAUGGGCGAAAGCCUGAUCCAGCCAUGCCGCGUGUGUGAAGAAGGUCUUCGGAUUGUAAAGCACUUUAAGUUGGGAGGCGUUACCAACAGAAUAAGCACCGGCUAACUUCGUGCCAGCCGCCGCGGUAAUUC